rfam:Burkholderiales bacterium RIFOXYD12_FTLL_59_19 rifoxyd3_full_scaffold_1052, whole genome shotgun sequence.
GUCGCCGCGAGGCGGGGUGCGGAGGAAGCCCAAGGCGAAAUCGCGGGACGAUGAACAAAAACCGGAUAUGAGGCGUGAUGCAUUCGGGACCAGCGGGCACGUGACCGUCAAGUCCUCUAUCUACAACGUGGGUGGCGACACCGACAAGAGUGCAUUUUGUAAAUCCGGCGUCUAUGCGAGGAAGGAUUCGUGU